ACAAACACACCUGGGAUAGAGCCGUCCUGCUGCAGUGCCCCAGUCCACGGUUCCUCAGGGGCACCGGAAACCUCAGGAGAAUCAGGGAGGCUAAAUUAAGCAUGCAAAUGAACCCACGUGCUUUGUCUUGGAGAGAUGCCCCAAGCGGAGUCCAUCUAGUGGAGGCUGUGUCACCCAUGAGACUGUUUAAUCAGGGUACCUCUCCACUCUCUCCUAGGUAAUUUGAGCACAAAAUGCUAUCAGUUAAGUUCUUACAGAACUAGUUCAUAUGACUUUUUCUAGGGAUG